UACGAAGGGGGCGAGCGUUGUUCGGAUUUACUGGGCGUAAAGGGCGCGUAGGCGGCCUUGCAAGUCGGUUGGUGAAAGCCCGGGGCUCAACCCCGGAGGUGCGGCCGAGACUGCAGGGCUGGAGGCCGGAAGAGGAGGGUGGAAUACCCAGUGUAGAGGUGAAAUUCGUAGAUAUUGGGUGGAGCACCGGUGGCGAAAGCGGCUCUCUGGUCCGGACCUGACGCUGAGGCGCGAAAGCGUGGGGAGCAAACAGG
rnacentral:rRNA from 1 species